rnacentral:rRNA from 1 species
UACGUAGGGUGCGAGCGUUAAUCGGAAUUACUGGGCGUAAAGCGUGCGCAGGCGGUUCGUUGUGUCGGCGGUGAAAGCCCCCGGGCUUAACCUGGGAAUGGCCGUUGAAACUGGCGAACUGGAGUGUGGCAGAGGGGGUGGAAUUCCGCGUGUAGCAGUGAAAUGCGUAGAGAUGCGGAGGAACACCGAUGGCGAAGGCAGCCCCCUGGGCUAACACUGACGCUCAGGCACGAAAGCGUGGGGAGCAAACAGG